rnacentral:siRNA from 1 species
UGGGACUACAUUUCUGGGACCC